rnacentral:rRNA from 1 species
UACAGAGGGGGCAAGCGUUGUUCGGAAUUACUGGGCGUAAAGGGCGCGUAGGCGGCCGCCUAAGUCAGACGUGAAAUCCCUCGGCUCAACCGGGGAACUGCGUCUGAUACUGGGUGGCUUGAAUCCGGGAGAGGGAUGUGGAAUUCCAGGUGUAGCGGUGAAAUGCGUAGAUAUCUGGAGGAACACCGGUGGCGAAGGCGACUUACUGGACGACUGUUGACGCUGAGGUGCGAAAGCGUGGGGAGCAAACAGG